GCCUAGAUCAGUCAGGUCAAUCCAGGUUUAUAGAGCCAUUAAUGACCUUUUGACAUUAAAACCCAGAAAGCUGGUAUUUCUCCAGUGAUUUACAUCAUUUAUACCUGGAGCUUCAGUGCUGACAACUAUUUCCUGUUUCCACAUAUUAGCCUCAAGGGGACUGAGUUUUUAGUUUACUGUUUCAAUUCUGUGUACUUGCAUGUUCUGACUGUUUUCUCCAGUUUUUUAACGUAGCUCCUUUAAGAGGCUCCUUCACGGUGCUAACCUGUUGGCACACCUGUUCUCCAUAAUCAUCAGUGAGCACAGCAGUUCAUCCACCAAAGAUCUCUCUGGGAUUCGAAGCUGCUUCACAGCAGAGCUUCUCUGAGUUGGUGGGCCUGAGAUCCUUCUAAGGUGUUGGGAGGUGAAAAGAGUGCGACGGAAGAGCAGAGGAACGCUGUCGGCCAUCUUAGUCCAGCUCAGCCACUGAAGAAGGCAAAAAAUGGCUUAUUUACAAAUGGGACAAACGGACCCGGGCGGGGAAUGCUCUCAGGAGGCCGAGGAUGCUCGCCCAACGACCAGUGGAGAUGAAUCCCACACUUGCGAUCAGUGUGAAAGGACUUUUGCUACCAAGAGUCGCCUCACAGUACACAAACGGAUCCACGCAGAUGUAAAACUGUAUCGCUGUGACGAGUGCGGGACUUCUUUUUGUCGGAGCAGCAGCUUAAAAAGGCAUCGCGUCAUCCACAGUGGGCUCAGACCGUACACGUGUGAGCCCACUGUGGGAAGACUUUCAAUCAGAUGAGCAUCUUGGAAAGGCAUCGACUCCUCCACAGUGGAAUUAAACCACACGUAUGUGACGAGUGCGGGCUGGCUUUUACCUGGCUGCCAAGCUUGAGGAAACAUCAGCUGUCCCACUCUGGGAUUGCAGACUGAAGCAGAUGCAUGCAGCGCUGUAGUAGCCACUGUUCUUUACCGGCUUCUUCACAGCGGGCCCCAACUGAAGUACUGAGAAGAACUUGGAAGAUGUUUCUCCUCAGAGGCUCAUUAAAAGUCCAUGGAGUCACCCACAGACAGGAAAAACCGGGAGUUGGGGGGUUCCUAGAACUCAAAUGUCUACUUUUCUUUUCUUUCUUUUCUGUGAUCUGCAGUAUCUGUAAUUUCUGAAGUGUCACAGUGAACAUUUGGUCACUUGCGUUUUUAACUUUGAACAGUUUUAAUGUCCCACUGAUUGAGGUGUGCAUUCAGAUCUCCCAUCAAUUGAACCUGACCAGUAGUAAAACAUCCAGAAAGUAAUCAGAUCACCAAGUGAAAGCUAAAACUGCUUUUAACUGCUUAUUAAACUGACUGCUUCUCUUAAGUAAUUGAUUAGCUGCUUAAAGGAAAAAGUGCCCCCCCCCUCCCCCCCAGCAGUUUAGUAUUUAUAGUUGAAAGAAAUCUGAUACUAAGGUAACUUUUUGAAUCUUAAAUUGUAUAUUUUUUGUAUUCACUGUAUUUUUUCUUUCUUUCUUUUGUUGUUGUUGCAUGGAAUCAACACAUCUGUACAUAUAGUACUGCAGUAAAACUGUAUUUUUAGCAGUGUUUAAAGUUUGGUUGAGUUGUACUAUUGGACCGUGUGUUAACAUCAUGUAUUAUGACACGAUGCAACAUUUUGGAACGACUUGGCUUCUUUCGUGUUUAGGCGGUGCAAUGUAGCUACAACAUGUCACAUGUAAUGAUCUUCCAGUGUUUUUCCAUAGGUUAAAAAUAAAAUCCUGUUUAUAACUUCAGUUUGUACUGAUGGUCAGUGAAACAGUAAAGCUCUCUGACUUGUAGCUCCUCAUGUUUGAGGAACACAUAUUAAUUAUACAGAUUUGAUGAAGUUGAAGUGCUGGCAGUCAAACUCAUCGUCUACCAUCAGUGUAGAGGUGGAAAGUAGUCCAGUGCUGCACAGUGUUUACAUGCUUGUACUUUAUCACACUAAUGCUCUCUACUUAGACUGCAUCCGACGUCAGAAGGAAAUAAUGUCCCGUUUUAUGCACCACAUUCA